rnacentral:tRNA from 1 species
UAGGAAGUAAUAUAAGGGGAGUAUGGAGGGUUUUGAUCUCUUCUGUGCAGGUUCAACUCCUGCCUUCCUAA